AUUGAACGCUGGCGGCAGGCCUCACACAUGCAAGUCGAACGAGUGGCGGACGGGUGAGUAAUGUCUGGGAAACUGCCUGAUGGAGGGGGCUAACUGCUAGAAACGGUAGCUAAUAACGAAUACAAUCAGAUGUGCCCAGAUUGGAUUAGCUUGUUGGUGGGGUAACGGCUCACCACGGCGACGAACCCUAGCUGGUCUGAGAGGAUGACCAGCCACACUGGAACUGAGACACGGGCCAGACUCCUACGGGAGGCAGCAGUUGUGAAUGUUGCACAAUGGGCGCAAUCCUUACGCAGCACUUCCUCGUGUAUGAAGAAGGCCUUCGGGUUGUAAAGUACUUUCAGCGGGGAGGCGUUACCCACAGAAGAAGCACCGGCUAACUCCGUGCCAGCCGCCGCGGUAAUUC
rnacentral:rRNA from 1 species